rnacentral:rRNA from 1 species
CACACGACCGUGCCGCAAACCGACACUGGUGCGCGAGAUGAGUAUUCUAAGGCGCUUGAGAGAACUCAGGAGAAGGAACUCGGCAAAUUGACACCGUAACUUCGGAAGAAGGUGUGCCUUUAGUAGGUGAACCUGUACAAGGGGAGCCCAAUGAGGUUGCAAAAAAUCGGUGGCUGCGACUGUUUAAUAAAAACACAGCACUCUGCAAACACGAAAGUGGACGUAUAGGGUGUGACGCCUGCCCGGUGCUGGAAGAUUAAAUGAUGGGGUGCAAGCUCUUGAUUGAAGUCCCAGUAAACGGCGGCCGUAACCAUAACGGUCCUAAGGUAGCGAAAUUCCUUGUCGGGUAAGUUCCGACCUGCACGAAUGGCGUAACGAUGGCCACACUGUCUCCUCCUGAGACUCAGCGAAGUUGAAAUGUUUGUGAUGAUGCAAUCUCCCCGCGGAAAGACGGAAAGACCCCAUGAACCUUUACUGUAGCUUUGUAUUGGACUUUGAACAGAUCUGUGUAGGAUAGGUGGGAGGCUUUAAAGUGUGGUCGCUAGAUCGCAUGGAGCCAACGUUGAAAUACCACCCUGGUGUGUUUAAGGUUCUAACCUAGGCCCGUAAUCCGGGUCGGGGACAGUGCAUGGUAGGCAGUUUGACUGGGGCGGUCUCCUCCCAAAGCGUAACGGAGGAGUUCGAAGGUACGCUAGGUACGGUCGGACAUCGUGCUAAUAGUGCAAUGGCAUAAGCGUGCUUAACUGCGAGACUGACAAGUCGAGCAGAUGCGAAAGCAGGACAUAGUGAUCCGGUGGUUCUGUAUGGAAGGGCCAUCGCUCAACGGAUAAAAGGUACUCUGGGGAUAACAGGCUGAUACCGCCCAAGAGUUCAUAUCGACGGCGGUGUUUGGCACCUCGAUGUCGGCUCAUCUCAUCCUGGGGCUGUAGCCGGUCCCAAGGGUAUGGCUGUUCGCCAUUUAAAGAGGUACGUGAGCUGGGUUUAAAACGUCGUGAGACAGUUUGGUCCCUAUCUUCCGUGGGCGCUGCAGAUUUGAGGAAGCCUGCUCCUAGUACGAGAGGACCGGAGUGGACACACCUCUGGUGUAUCGGUUGUCACGCCAGUGGCAUUGCCGAGUAGCUAUGUGUGGAAGAGAUAACCGCUGAAAGCAUCUAAGCGGGAAACUCGUUUCAAGAUGGGAUCUGCCGGGGCCAUGAGCCCCCUAAAGAGUCGUUCAAGACCAGGACGUUGAUAGGUCGGGUGUGGAAGCGCAGUAAUGCGUUAAGCUAACCGAUACUAAUUGCUCGUGCGGCUUGACC